rnacentral:rRNA from 1 species
GACGAACGCUGGCGGCGCGCCUAACACAUGCAAGUCGAACGGAGUUUAGAGGAGCUUGCUUCUCGAAGACUUAGUGGCGGACGGGUGAGUAACACGUGAGCAACCUGCCUUACAGAGGGGAAUAACAUCCGGAAACGGAUGCUAAUACCGCAUAACAUUGUUUUUCCGCAUGGGAGAAUGAUCAAAGAUUUAUCGCUGUAAGAUGGGCUCGCGGCCGAUUAGCUAGUUGGUGAGGUAAUGGCUCACCAAGGCAACGAUCGGUAGCCGGACUGAGAGGUUGAACGGCCACAUUGGGACUGAGACACGGCCCAGACUCCUACGGGAGGCAGCAGUGGGGGAUAUUGCACAAUGGAGGAAACUCUGAUGCAGCGACGCCGCGUGAGGGAAGAAGGUUUUCGGAUUGUAAACCUCUGUCCUCAGUGAAGAUAAUGACGGUAACUGAGGAGGAAGCCACGGCUAACUACGUGCCAGCCGCCGCCGUAACAC